rnacentral:rRNA from 1 species
GAUGCCUAAGACAUGCAAGUCGAACGAGGUGGCCCACAGAUUGAUAUUGAAAUGGAGUGCUUGCACAAAGUCGGAUUUAUCAUGACGUGGAUCUUCCACCUAGUGGCAAACGGGUGAGUAACACAUGGGUUACCUGCCUCUAAGUUGGGGAUAACAGUUGGAAGCGAUUGCUAAUACCGAAUGUGAUCUACGGAUUAAAGUUCCCCUUAAAGGAACGCUUAGAGAUGGGCCUGUGGCGUAUUAGCUAGUUGGUGGGGUAAUGGCCUACCAAGGCAACGAUGCGUAGCCGAGCUGAGAGGUUAAUCGGCCACACUGGGACUGAGACACGGCCCAGACUCCUACGGGAGACAGCAGUUAGGAAUAUUCGUCAAUGGGGGAAACCCUGAACGAGCAAUGCCGCGUGAGUGAAUGACGGCCCUCUGGGUUGUAAAACUCUGUUGUUUGGAAAGAAUGAUAAGAUUAGGAAAUGAUUCUUAUUUGACGGUACCAUUCAAGAAAGCCACGGCUAACUACGUGCCAGCCGCCGC